AUGUACCCCUCGUACACCGCGGUUCCUCUGCGCCGUCCGCUUUCACCUGACAACCACUCGCUACAUUUUGUCAGCC
rnacentral:sRNA from 1 species